UGGUGAACAGCACUUGAGGCGUACAAGGUGAAGGUGUCGACACCAGUCUCCUCAGCCGUAUCAGGGGUACGUUCCGGUUCCGCUGCAUGGCUUGGCCGAGGCGGUGAUCUGCAGUGACGAAAACUUCUCUCUAUGUAUUUGAUGAUGCCACUAGUACAGGAACAGUUUUAGGCAUUCUUCGGGAGUUAAAAUGCCAUUAUGAUUUCACUCAACACGAGGUUUAUUUUACACUUGCGUUACCUCUUGAUUGAGCACUGCUGUAUGGAAGGUGUGCAUACAGAAGUUUAAUGUGCCUAUUAUGUUAA